rnacentral:rRNA from 1 species
GGGCCCACACAAGCGGUGGAGCAUGUGGUUUAAUUCGAUGAUACGCGAGGAACCUUACCAGGGCUUAAAUGCAGAACGACAGAGGUGGAAACACCUCCUUCUUCGGACGGUCUGCAAGGUGCUGCAUGGUUGUCGUCAGCUCGUGCUGUGAAGUGUCGGGUUAAGUCCCAUAACGAGCGCAACCCCUAUUUCUAGUUGCCAGCGGUUCGGCCGGGGACUCUAGAGAAACUGCCAGCGUAAGCUGUGAGGAAGGUGGGGAUGACGUCAAAUCAUCACGGCCCUUACGUCCUGGGCUACACACGUGCUACAAUGGUAGGGACAGAGAGUUGCCAACCCGCGAGGGUGAGCUAAUCUUCAAAAAGUUGGUCCAAGUUCGGAUUGCAGUCUGCAACUCGACUGCAUGAAGUCGGAAUCGCUAGUAAUCG